CUUCUGAAACAUUUUAAUGAAAGUAUAAGUCACAAAAUUCACAUUUUCACUUACUUCUUAACAUCUGUUUUAAUCCAGCUAGCUCUGUAGGCACGAGCGAAAUUUAGUGUUGAUGUUAAAUAUCCAUUUAGUUCAUAUUUCCCCGGUGAAAAUAUAGUCUAUUCCAACGCUGAUUUCGACGUACUUUAGCUUUUCAGAAACCGUUGGCCUUCCUCAG